UGGGGAAUAUUGCACAAUGGGCGGAAGCCUGAUGCAGCAACGCCGCGUGCGGGAUGACGGCCUUCGGGUUGUAAACCGCUUUCGCCUGUGACGAAGCGUGAGUGACGGUAAUGGGUAAAGAAGCACCGGCUAACUACGUGCCAGCAGCCGCGGUGAUACGUAGGGUGCGAGCGUUGUCCGGAUUUAUUGGGCGUAAAGGGCUCGUAGGUGGUUGAUCGCGUCGGAAGUGUAAUCUUGGGGCUUAACCCUGAGCGUGCUUUCGAUACGGGUUGACUUGAGGAAGGUAGGGGAGAAUGGAAUUCCUGGUGGAGCGGUGGAAUGCGCAGAUAUCAGGAGGAACACCAGUGGCGAAGGCG
rnacentral:rRNA from 1 species